rnacentral:rRNA from 1 species
CCUACGGGAGGCAGCAGUGGGGAAUAUUGGACAAUGGGCGAAAGCCUGAUCCAGCCAUGCCGCGUGUGUGAAGAAGGCCUUCGGAUUGUAAAGCACUUUCAGUGGGGAAGAAAGCCUUGGGGCUAAUACCCUCGAGGAAGGACAUCACCCACAGAAGAAGCACCGGCUAACUCCGUGCCAGCAGCCGCGGUAAUACGGAGGGUGCGAGCGUUAAUCGGAAUUACUGGGCGUAAAGCGCGCGUAGGCGGUCUGAUAAGCCGGUUGUGAAAGCCCCGGGCUCAACCUGGGAACGGCAUCCGGAACUGUCAGGCUAGAGUGCAGGAGAGGAAGGUAGAAUUCCCGGUGUAGCGGUGAAAUGCGUAGAGAUCGGGAGGAAUACCAGUGGCGAAGGCGGCCUUCUGGACUGACACUGACGCUGAGGUGCGAAAGCGUGGGUAGCAAACAGGAUUAGAUACCCGUGUAGUC